AAAGCAUUCCUGAUUUUCUCAAGGAUAGACAUUUUCUAGCUAAGAUCUCCAGGGAAAAGUUUGAGGGAUCACGAGAGAUGGAUGAAUCAUGAGGAAGGGGAUCUACAUAUUUCUGACCAGCUCAGAGUAAGGGGUCCAUCUUCUCCAGACUGGCUUGGAUUGCAAGAAGCUGCAUCUUCCUACAGAACUAUUGUGAUAAAAAUGUGAAACAACACGGGGUCCCAGUUCAGACCUGAAUGAGGUACCAAAGGUGAUUUUUGCACCACUGAUGCUCACUCUCCAGCACCAUACUGCAACCAGAUGCCCCAUUCACUUGACGAGGUGUGCUGCCAACAGGACUGGCAUUUUUGCUAUUGACCAACAUUAGCUGGCAUGGUUACAAGAGUCUGGACAGCCAGUUAAUCCUUAAAGAUAUGUCUUCUUUGAUUGUGUGCUAUAACAUUAUUCUUGCAAGUACUAUUUUCUAAAGGACUUCUGAAGCAAUAGAAAAAGCCGUAAAUUGCUUUCCAUUGCUAGGAAAAGUCAUGUGUCUGUUUAAGUAUACAAGCAUCUUCAGAGGGUUAUUUGUGAUUGCAACAUUUUCAGACUCAAUAGAGUCACAUAAUAAAGCAAACCCUUUCUAAGCAUUUGAGUGUCCUUUCUCUGCUGUUUGAAGCACACAGAUGAAGAUAAAGAUACACUGGGGAGGAAAACAUAUUUCUCCCAGAGAAGAAGAACAGGGUAUGUGAAGUGUUAAAAAACUCA
rnacentral:lncRNA from 1 species